GACGAACCGAGCGAACGUUAUUCGGAAUCACUGGGCGUAAAGGGCGCGUAGGCGGCUCAUACAGUCAGGCGUGAAAUUCCUGGGCUCAACCUGGGGACUGCGCUUGAGACGUGUGGGCUUGAGUGGGGAAGAGGGUCGUGGAAUUCCCAGUGUAGAGGUGAAAUUCGUAGAUAUUGGGAAGAACACCGGUGGCGAAGGCGGCGACCUGGUCCUUGACUGACGCUGAGGCGCGAAAGCGUGGGGAGCAAACAGG
rnacentral:rRNA from 1 species